CUGGCCGCGUUGCCGUAGCUACUGGAGACGCGCUCCGUGGGGCGGACAGGCGCACUUCCGGACCGGGGCGCGGCAGCCGGAAGUGCGUGGCCGCCGGGGCCAUGGCGGCGCUCAGCGUCGUCUGCCUGCUGCUGGCAGCGGCAUCCUGGCGGCCGGUCUCGGCUUCAGGAGAAGAAUUCUGGCCUGGCCAGUCGGCGGCGGACAUCCUGUCGGGGGCGGCAUCCCGCAGACGGUACCUCCUGUAUGAUGUCAACCCCCCAGAAGGCUUCAAUCUCCGCAGGGAUGUCUAUAUCCGGGUGGCAUCCUUGCUGAAGACGCUGUUGAAGACUGAAGAGUGGGUGCUAGUCCUGCCCCCGUGGGGCCGCCUCUACCACUGGCAAAGCCCUGACAUCCACCAGGUCCGGAUUCCCUGGUCCGAGUUUUUUGACCUCCCGAGUCUCAAUAAAAACAUCCCCGUUAUAGAGUAUGAGCAGUUCAUUGCAGAGUCCGGCGGGCCCUUUAUCGACCAGGUGUACGUCCUACAAGGUUACGCCGAGGGCUGGAAGGAGGGCACCUGGGAGGAGAAGGUGGACGCACGGCCCUGUAUUGACCCUCUGCUGUACUCGCAGGACAAGCAUGAGUAUUACAGAGGCUGGUUUUGGGGCUACGAAGAAACACGGGGUCUGAAUGUCUCCUGCCUGUCCGUCCAGGGGUCGGCUUCCAUCGUCGCGCCUGUCCUCUUAAAAAACACAUCUGCUCGGUCUGUGAUGCUGGACCGAGCUGAGAAUCUGCUUCAUGACCACUAUGGAGGCCGGGAGUACUGGGAUACCCGGCGCAGCAUGGUGUUUGCAAAGCACUUGCGGGCUGUGGGAGACGAGUUUAGGAGCCAGCACCUCAACUCGACGGAUGCCGCUGAUAAGAUGGCCCCGGAGGAAGACUGGACGAAGAUGAAGGUAGCCGCGCUGCUCUUGCCCGAGAAGGAGCUAGGGACGGGGCUCCUCCCUUAAGCUAGCAUGUCUGACCUGUCAAACUGGGCUCAGCACUAGGCGGCCCCUACCUCGGAGUCCACCUGAGAAGGAAGGACUUCAUCUGGGGCCACAGGGAGGAUGUGCCCAGCCUGGAGGGCGCCGUGAAGAAGAUCCGCAGCCUCAUGAAGACUCAUCAGCUGGACAAGGUGUUCGUGGCCACAGACGCCAUCAGGAAGGAGCAGGAAGAAUUGAGGAAGCUGCUGCCGGAAAUGGUGAGGUUUGAGCCCACGUGGGAGGAGCUGGAGCUGUACAAGGACGGAGGCGUCGCCAUCAUCGAUCAGUGGAUCUGCGCUCAUGCCAGGUUUUUUAUUGGCACCUCUGUUUCCACAUUUUCCUUUCGGAUUCAUGAAGAGAGAGAGAUCCUGGGGUUGGACCCCAAGACAACAUACAACCGGUUUUGUGGAGACCAGGAGAAAGCAUGUGAGCAGCCCACACACUGGAAGAUUGCGUACUGAGGGCCACCUAUCCACCGCCUGCCAAUCACUCGGUCACAGGGUCCCAGAGGAGGCCCCCACAUGGGAGGCAACACAUCUAGAGCCCAUGCUCCCACGUGUCCGUGGGCCGACAUCUACCUGUGUCUAGGCUCUGCCACCUUCAGGAUUCACAACUGUGUCUUCUCUCAGGACCUGAGAACCCACGUCCCCAUCACAGAUGUCACAUGUGUGCUAGUCCAGAAAUAGAAGAACAUUUGUCAGCUCCGACACAGGCCUCUCAGCCACCUUCCUGAACAAGUUGAGCAUGGCCAGCCUGUGGCAAUGCCCUCAGGUGUGGAUGCGGGCUCCUGAGGUGUUGGGGUGACUGACGACUGAGGUCACUUCACACAUGGCCAGCGUGAGCCGACACCAAGCCUUGCCUCAGCCUCCACCUGUGGGGCUCCCACUAAUUUCCUCCUGGAUGGAACGACUCGGGCACUGUUGUCAUCAGAGUGACAGCCCUGGAGCCUUGCCAGUGACUUCCUCGCCUCACAUGGACCCCCAGGUUCACUGCACACGCUGAGAAAUAGAAUUGAGAAGUAAAGGAAAUGGCCUUCAAAAGGCCACACCUGAGACCCGCCCCUGCUUUAUGACACCCUUCCCUGGGCCUCAUGCUGUACCACAGGAGGCAGAGUCAGCACAGCCGUGGCCAGGGCACCCCCAGGUCCCUGACCUGGUACUUAGCAGUGCACCCCUCCCCCCAGUGCUGUGCACUGAGCAGCCCCCACUCAGCUACUGCCAGGUCUCCGUCCCAAGCACCAAGGUAGACUCUGAGCACAGACAGGGCCCCGUGGCCCAGUCAGCUGACCAGCUAGAAUCACAUAUUUAUUUUCCAUUUGUACAUCCAAGCGUAUUAAUAAAAUACUUUUUCAAGAAA